rnacentral:rRNA from 1 species
CGAACGGGUGAGUAACGCGUGGGUAACCUGCCCUGUACAGGGGGAUAACAGUUGGAAACGGCUGCUAAAACCGCAUAACAUGGAGAUACCGCAUGAUAUUUCCAUCAAAUAUUUAUAGGUACAGGAUGGGCCCGCGUCUGAUUAGCCAGUUGGCAGGGUAAUGGCCUACCAAAGCGACGAUCAGUAGCCGGCUUGAGAGAGUGACCGGCCACAUUGGGACUGAGACACGGCCCAAACUCCUACGGAAGGCAGCAG